CCUACGGGAGGCAGCAGUGAGGAAUAUUGGUCAAUGGACGAGAGUCUGAACCAGCCAAGCCGCGUGAAGGAUGAAGGUCCAACGGGUUGUAAACUUCUUUUAUCUGGGAAUAAAAUCUUCCACGCGUGCGCUUCUGUAUGUACCUUAUGAAUAAGCAUCGGCUAACUCCGUGCCAGCAGCCGCGGUAAUACGGAGGAUGCGAGCGUUAUCCGGAUUUAUUGGGUUUAAAGGGUGCGUAGGCGGGCUGUUAAGUCAGGUGUGAAAGCUUGGGGCUCAACCCUGGGAUUGCAGUUGAAACUGGCAGUCUGGAGUGGGGGAGAGGUAGGCGGAAUUCGUGGUGUAGCGGUGAAAUGCUUAGAUAUCGCGAAGAACUCCGAUUGCGAAGGCAGCACACUGGA
rnacentral:rRNA from 1 species